rnacentral:lncRNA from 1 species
CAACACUUGGUGACCCCUCUACAUGCUUCACCUAUUUCGCAGCUGUACCUCGGCUGCCAUCUAUCCAAACAGCAUCGCCAGCUGUUUUUUUUCUUAUCAAUC